rnacentral:rRNA from 1 species
GACAGAGGGUGCAAACGUUGUUCGGAAUUACUGGGCGUAAAGCGCGUGUAGGCGGCUAUGCAAGUCGGAUGUGAAAGCCCUCGGCUCAACCGGGGAAGUGCACUCGAAACUGCAAGCUAGAGUCUCGGAGAGGAUCGUGGAAUUCUCGGUGUAGAGGUGAAAUUCGUAGAUAUCGAGAGGAACACCGGUGGCGAAGGCGGCGAUCUGGACGAUGACUGACGCUGAGACGCGAAAGCGUGGGGAGCAAACAGG